UGCACAGUGUUGCAUGCACCAACUUUGCAUUGUUCACUCAUACAAUUUUAAUGUGUCAUAGGGUUAGUUUAAAACAAAAGGAUUUUUGUAUACGAUUGCGGUGCCUGCCCUGGACUGCCAUGGAUACAGUUGGAAACCAGCCAUACCAGCAAAGGCUUCUUAACUCCAUGUUCAGUUCCAUUCCCCCAGCACAGAACACGAGUGUCAAAUUCCAGUAGGAUUACAAGAGGAGCUAAGAGCACUGCUCCUGGUGGGAGCUGCCUCUGUACCUCUCUCCUGCUCUCUCUGCCUCUGUGCUCCUCUCACAGCUCACCUGGAGCUGUGUGCUGGAGGGAAGGCUGAAGGCUCUGAACCAGAGGUCUUGUGCCUCCUGAAAUAUCAGCUCACGUGAGGGAGGAGGCUUCAGGGUGAUCAGGGAGUUGGCACGGGAUGUGCAGAAUGAGUCCUCCAGUGUCCACGUUGAGUUAGACUUCAAAAAAAAAAGAAAGAAAAGGGACAACUUUGUUCCUUCUGGUCUUUUUAUUUUUUGAAUGUGCUUCUUGUUGAUUAAUGGAAGGAGAAAGUAUUGUAUGAGGCAGGUAGAGAUCAGUCUUUCUGUAGCAACCCCCCUGAUCCCCUCCCCCAAUUUGCACCAGGCAAACGCGACUAUUCCCUGCCAAGUCCAGCAGACUUCAGGGGGCCUCAUAAAUCAUCUGAAACAAAACAUUUUUUAAUCUGAGACGUGCUUGCCUGACAUGCAAAUUUAUUACCUGUGCCAGGCAAACAGAUGCUGUUCAAAUCCCCCGUGUCUGCCUUUUGUUUACCUGUGUGAAAGGAGAAAAAAGAGAGAAAAUAAAAGAGGAAGGAAUCAGAGCGAAGGGGCUGGUUUCAUGGAGCAGAAAGUAGCAGCAGAAACUUCCAAGGAAAAGCAACAUCCAGCAGGUGUGGAAAAUGGGGGAAAAGGGCUUCCUGUGUCAGAACCAAAGCCCUCACAGUUUUGGAAACAGAAAAUGGCUAAACAGACUGAGAAAAUGCAGUGGGAGCUGUGACAACCAAAGCCUAUUAGGAAGGGCACGUGUCUUCUUGCUGACAUCAAACUGUUAAAGCCUGUGUGCUAAGCCCAAGUGAGACACAAACCUGUUUCCAUCUUGACACCUCUGGAGAUGCCCUUUGCUGCUUGUUGCCCUGGAGGAGGAUGAAACCAACGCAGCUCAUCUUGUACUCCAGGGAGCUACCUGAAGACGCAGGCAGAGUGCUGAAGUGUCCGGCAGAGAAGGGAAAUGUGAGGUGUUGGAACUGAGUCCUCCUAUCUGGAGUCCAAACUUACACUGUAGGGCAUUCUGGAUGUAGGGACUAGAGUGUGAAAAAAGCGAGCAGAAACAGAAAAAGGCUGUUUUA